GAUUAAUAUCAAUUAUAUAAAUCAAAACAUAAAGGUUAUUUCUGAUUAAUUUUUCGAAUUAUUUUAUAAUUAAAGGCGUUAAGAAACCUUUGGUGACCCCACAAUUUAAAUGUCUAUCGUAGGUACGUCGUGAACAGUGGUCGUUACAGACAAACGUUCACGUAAAUUGUCCCAGUCAAUGGAUGAAUUUGAUGUGUCAAUCAAUGGCCACAGCCACACUGUUUUGAAUUUCAUUCUAAGUUAAUCGU
rnacentral:lncRNA from 1 species